ensembl:ncRNA T22B7.21 ncRNA
AUUCAAAAGAAAUAAUUGACAUAUACACCCUACCAAAACUGCAAACACAAGAGCAAGGAUAAUUCAUCAUCGAGAUCUCCAAUUAUCCCUUACAGUCUGUCAAGAAUACAUGAAUAUUUGAUAAGGUAAAGUAUGGAAGA